CGCACUUUUAACCUCGACUUUUUUCCAUCUUUCUCAUCCUUAUCAAGAAGGAAGCAUAGAUAAGCUGAGUGGGUGGAAAUCUAGAAGCACAUUUGAAGACCAAAAAUAGAAGCCUGUCAUGAGUGGGCCCUGUCAAUCUUACAACAUCAUUUGCAGGGAUAGGAAAAGUCUGUCUAGAAAGCUACUUGUCUCUUUCCGUGGAAAGAAGUAAAGGGGAACACGCAAAUACUUACCAGAAGCCAGCUGCUACGUUGUGUGAGCAGCCCUUUGGAGAAGCUCAUGGGGACAGAAACUAAAGGCUCCUGACAACAGCCACAUAAAUGACCUCAAAAGCAGAUGCUCCAGCCCUUCAGAUGAUGGUGUCCAGCCA